UGAACGUAAUUUGAGUCCAGGUAUUGAUUUUGCUAUGAAGUUGCAACGGUGAGAUUGAUGAUUUUGAUUUUGUGUAAUAUUGGGCAAAUAAUUGCAGGAGAU